rnacentral:sRNA from 1 species
AAAACGACUGUUUGGGGUAAAACUUGAACAGGUACGGCUAGAUUGAGUGUGUGGACUUCCCUGCUCUAUCUAAUCUUCGUGUUAUCUAACCUACGAUACAGAGUGUGCGGUCAUCCCUGCUCUGUAUCGCAUUAAUACAAGUGUGCGGUCAUCCCUGCUUGUAUUGGUGGUGGUUGCGGCGGAGCACUAGUGUGUGGUCAUCCCUGCUGGUGUUCUGGCCUUUCUAGCGCAAGUGUGCGGCACUCCCUGCUUGCGUUAGGUUGCGUUGUUGGCGCAAGUGUGCGGUCAUCCCUGCUUGCGUUAACGUUGGUACCUGUUCAGUUGCGUAGGUGUGUGGUCAUCCCUGCCUGCGUAACGUUGAGUCCCUAUAUAUGUGCAGGAGCGGUGAUUAAAGUCUGCACUUGUAAAUAUUGGCAGCAAUCAGGGCUAUCCGAUUCUAUCUCGGGUACGGGCCCGCGGGGAUCACAGGCAGUGACCCCCUUGCACGUUACA